UACGGAGGGUGCAAGCGUUAUCCGGAUUUACUGGGUUUAAAGGGUGCGUAGGUGGGUUGGUUAGUCAGUGGUGAAAUCUUCGAGCUUAACUCGGAAACUGCCAUUGAUACUAUCAAUCUUGAAUCAUCUAGAGGUAAGCGGAAUAUGUCAUGUAGCGGUGAAAUGCUUAGAUAUGAUAUAGAACACCAAUUGCGAAGGCAGCUUACUAUGGGUGUAUUGACACUGAGGCACGAAAGCGUGGGGAUCAAACAGG
rnacentral:rRNA from 1 species